GUUCAUUCCGAUGAACAUAUAAAAUUGGAACAAUAUCGAGAAGAUUAGCAUGAUCCCUACGCAAGGAUGACACGCAAAUUCGUGAAGCAUUCCAAAUUUUU
rnacentral:snRNA from 1 species